AAAAGUAAGUAAGGGCACAUGGCGGAUGCCUUGGCUCUCGGAGGCGAUGAAGGACGUGAUAAGCUGCGAUAAGCUUUGGGGAGGUGCAAAUGACCUUUGAUCCAGAGAUUUCCGAAUGGGACAACCCAAUAUCUUGAAGAGGUAUUAUCCAACGUUGUUGGAGGCUAACGCAGGGAACUGAAACAUCUUAGUACCUGCAGGAAAAGAAAAUAAACAAUGAUUCCCCCAGUAGUGGCGAGCGAACGGGGAACAGCCCAAACCACCCAUGUUACGGCAUGUGUGGGGUUGUAGGACCACGCCGUGGCAAGAAAGUUGGUGAGCAGAAUGUUCUGGAAAGUACAGCCAUAGAGCAUGACAGCUGCGUAUGCGAAGCCAAGCGAAGCCUAGUGGUAUCCUGAGUAGCGCGGAGCACGAGGAAUUCUGCGUGAAUCUGCCGGGACCAUCCGGUAAGGCUAAAUACUCCCGAGAGACCGAUAGUGAACCAGUACUGUGAAGGAAAGGUGAAAAGCACUUCGAACAGAAGAGUGAAAUAGUUCCUGAAACCAUGUGCCUACAAGCGGUCGGAGCACCUUCUGGUGUGACGGCGUGCCUUUUGCAUAAUGAACCUACGAGUUACUUUUUCCGGCGAGGUUAAGGAUUUCAGAUCUGCAGCCGAAGCGAAAGCGAGUCUGAACAGGGCGUAUAGUCGGAAGGAGUAGACGCGAAACCAAGUGAUCUACCCUUGGGCAGGUUGAAGGUUAGGUAACACUAACUGGAGGACCGAACCGAUAAGCGUUGAAAAGCUUCCGGAUGAACUGAGGGUGGGGGUGAAAGGCUAAUCAAACUUGGAGAUAGCUCGUACUCCCCGAAAUGCAUUUAGGUGCAGCCUUGACUUAUACUGGCAUGAGGUAGAGCGACUGAUAAGAUGCGAGGGCUUCACCGCCUAUCAAGUCUUGACAAACUCCGAAUGCGUGUCAGUUCUAUGUCAGGAGUGAGGGCAUGGGUGCUAAGGUCCAUGUCCUAAAGGAGAACAAUCCGGACCAACAGCUAAGGUCCCGAAAUGAAUACUAAGUUGAACUAACGAAGUCAGAUUGCUAAGACAGCUAGGAUGUUGGCUUGGAAGCAGCCAUUCAUUUAAAGAGUGCGUAACAGCUCACUAGUCGAGGAGUUUGGCGUGGAUAAUAAUCGGGCAUCAAGCAAUUUACCGAAGCUAUGGGAUCAGUAAUGAUCGGUAGGGGAGCAUUCCACUCUGCGUCGAAGGUGAAGCGUGAGCUUUGCUGGAGCGUGUGGAAAAGCAAAUGUAGGUAUAAGUAACGAUAAAGGGGGUGGGAAACCCCCUCGCCGAAAGACUAAGGUUUCCUGAUCAACGCUAAUCGGAUCAGGGUUAGUCGGGUCCUAAGGCUCAGCCGAACGGUGAGGCCGAUGGCAGAACAGGUUAAUAUUCCUGUACUACCUUAAGGAGUGACGUGGAGACGGAGGCGUGACAGCGCCGCGGACUGACGGAAUAGUCCGUUGAAGGGUGUAGAUGCUGAUUGUUCCAGGCAAAUCCGGAGCAAGAGUCGAACCUGAUAGUAUGGAGCGUUCUUAGAACAAUCCAAUAGUGCGUGUAAUCAUACUUCCAAGAAAAUCCGCUAAACUUAAUCCUGCAGGUACCCGUACCGCAAACGGACACACGUAGUCGGGUUGAAUAUACUAAGGCGCUUGAGUGAUUCACGGUUAAGGAACUAGGCAAAUUGACCCUGUAACUUCGGGAUAAAGGGUCCCAACGAGAGUUGGGCGCAGAGAAUAGGUCCAGGCAACUGUUUAACAAAAACACAGGGCUGUGCCAAAUUGAAAGAUUACGUAUACAGCCUGACACCUGCCCGGUGCUGGAAGGUUAAGAGGAGAUGUCAUCGCAAGAGAAGCAUUGAAUUGAAGCCCCAGUAAACGGCGGCCGUAACUAUAACGGUCCUAAGGUAGCGAAAUUCCUUGUCGGGUAAGUUCCGACCUGCACGAAUGGUGUAAUGAUCUGGACGCUGUCUCAACCGUGAGCUCAGUGAAAUUGUAGUAUCGGUGAAGAUGCCGAUUACCCGCGAUGGGACGAAAAGACCCCGUGAACCUUUACUAUAGCUUAACAUUGAAUUUGGGUAAUUGAUGUGUAGGAUAGGCCGGAGACUUUGAAGCAGGUACGCCAGUAUUUGUGGAGUCGCUGUUGAAAUACGGCCCUUUGAUUAUUUGAGUUCUAACUCGUAGUUGCGAGGACACUGUUUGGUGGGUAGUUUGACUGGGGUGGUCGCCUCCAAAAGUGUAACGGAGGCUUCUAAAGGUGCCCUCACGCCGAUUGGUAACCGUCGUUAGAGUGUAAUGGCAUAAGGGCGCUUGACUGGGAGACUAACAAGUCGAUCAGGU
rnacentral:rRNA from 1 species